GGAGGAAAGUAGGGGAUCGCAAGACCUUGCGCUUUUGGAGUGGCCGAUGCCUGAUUAGCUAGUUGGUGGGGUAAGAGCCUACCAAGGCGACGAUCAGUAGUUGGUCUGAGAGGACGACCAGCCACACUGGGACUGAGACACGGCCCAGACUCCUACGGGAGACAGCAGUGGGGAAUUUUGGACAAUGGGCGAAAGCCUGAUCCAGCAAUGCCGCGUGAGUGAAGAAGGCCUUCGGGUUGUAAAGCUCUUUCAGUCGAGAAGAAAAGGUCGCGACUAAUAAUCGCGACUCAUGACGGUAUCGACAGAAGAAGCACCGGCUAACUACGUGCCAGCAGCCGCGGUAAUACGUAGGGUGCGAGCGUUAAUCGGAAUUACUGGGCGUAAAGGGUGCGCAGGCGGCUUUGUAAGUCAGAUGUGAAAUCCCCGGGCUUAACCUGGGAAUUGCGUUUGAAACUACAAAGCUAGA
rnacentral:rRNA from 1 species